rnacentral:lncRNA from 1 species
CGGAGAUGGCUUGAGCCUUCCGGAACUGGUUGCCGUCAAACACCUCCUGGGGGAAUCCAAAGUCAUUUCUGUCCUUCAGGCAGGAGAAGGGGGAGAUUCUCCUCAUUUGUCCCAGGAGCAUCAAGACCCUUGUGUUGCCCAGGCUAUGGGUGUGAGGCAGGUCACAUCCCAGAGAGCAGCUGGAGUGGCAGCUGAGCACCACCAGGGCCAUCAGUAAGGAAAAUGGUAGAGCCAUUGGGGAUCUUGCAGAUGCUGCUGGCCUGGCUCAGCUAAUAAGGAAACAACUUGUGAUGUCUCCACACUUGUGGCUAUUUUCUAACUUUAGCCUAAGCCCUAGGAGUUAACCUGAAUGCUUCGUUCAAAGGAUCAAUGAUACUGUGCACUCUAAGGAGUGACAUCCACAUCAUCUCCCCAGCUUUAAAUUGCGGAAUCAUAUUUUGGGAGCAAGCAUUAAGUUAACCAACAGGCACAGACCUGGGAGCUUUGGCUUCAGUUGGCCGGAACGCUGGGGGGACAUGGGAGAGACACUGUCACCGCCUUGGGGAGGAACUUGUGUGGCUUAAAUAGGGACUAAGAAACCUCCCUUUCUGUGGCCCUGACUACUGAGGAGGGAGCUUGGCCCUGGCCUCACCAGAAACGUGUUUCUCAGGGAGCAAACACAAAACCCAACAUUUUCUGCCAUGUCCCCCCGAGUUUUGUGCCGUUUUUGUACUGAAUCUGUUUACCGAGAAUUUUCCUUAUUUUAAAAAAAAUCAAUUAAAGCCAUAAUUCAUAUUAGGUUUCACUUUUUGUGUUGUGCGUUCCAUGGGAUUUGACAUAACACAUAAUGACACAUAUGCAUUGUUAUAGUAUGAUACAGAAUACUUUUCUUGCCCUAAAAUUUUCCUGUUCUCCACCUAUUCAUCCAC